GAUGAUUUUAUUGUAUCAUGCAAUUAUGGUUUAUGAUUUACCUGCCGAUUAAGGUUGAUUGGAUUUUAUUCUUGCAAUUAGGGGUUUGAUUAUUGCAAUAUUAUUUGAUUUUAUGUGGUCAAUCUGCAUUCAACCUUAAUCAAGCAAGAUUAGGGUUACUUAAAGAAAAUUAGGGUCAAAUUAGGGUUUUCCAAGGUGUAGGUAGGCCGCAGCUAGCCCCAGGAAGGAGGCGUCCAACCUCUACCUCAGUCGAUAGUCCGAUUCGAUUGGAGGCGAAUUGAACCCUGACCAGAACUCAUCGUGGUCUGCAACCUCGCUUCGCGGCUCAUGAGGCGUAAUCGCGGCCAAGCAAGGAUCGGCAAUCGCGAAUAAGGGGCCUCGGGUCGUCGAUUGCGCCUGCCACCGUAUCGGGAUCAAGCCAGGAUGGAGUCGGGGUCACGGCUGGGUCUCUCUGAUCCCAGUUGGCGGUCGCCGUGCUCUCUGACCCAGUUCGUGGCCGUGAACCUUGAUCCUCUACAUCCGAUCUUCCCCGACCUAUGUCUCUCUCUCUCUCUCUCGCCCACUCGAGCCUCGAUGAUCACGGCCACACGUUGACGCUACACGUCGCCGGUACAUCCGAUCAACAGUGGGAGGGGCGGCGCUAGGGUUUGUGGGAUUUGGGGAGGAGUCGGGUGAGGAAGAUGAAACUCGGACCCAACCCAGAUCGUUUUUGUUUCGCCUGACCUAAUUCAACCUGAUCCAAUGAGGCCCGAUCCGCUUCAGGAAGAACUGGGCUAAACGGGGCCUGAAGCCCAUUAAGGCAAACCCAGCCCAGUUGACUCAUUUGACCGGUUUAGAGACCAGUUUGACUGGUUUAUCCUGGUUGAUCGGUUCAGCUCAAUCUAUUCUUGAAAAUAUUGCUUAUGUUCCCAUGCUUGAUGGACAAAAUUUUUCUGACCGGGAAGAAUCGGUUCUUUUCACUCUGGGGUACAUAGACCUGGACUAUGCGCUUCGUGAGAAGGAGUCACCCUCCCACGGAUACAAUGCGCCUGGGGUCAAGGAGAAGUAUGAGUGUGGGAGAAAUCUAACCGUUUAAGCCUCAUGCUCAUGAAGUCUCGUGUGAGUAAAAGUAUACGGGGAGUUGUUGGUGAGGUGACUAAGGCUAAGAAUUUUCUGAAGGCAAUUAAGGAACAAUUUGCCAAAUCAGAUAAGGCCUUGGUAAGUACCCUGAUGAAGAGGCUGAUUAGCAAGACCUUUGACAGUUCAAAGGGUGUCCCUACGCACAUUACGAAAAUGAGAGACUUGGCACCUCAACUCAAGACUUUAAAGAUGAUAUCUCCAAGUCGUUUUUGGUUCACUUCAUUCUCAACUCCUUGCUAGAUGAGUAUGAAUCAUUUAAAAUCUCCUACAACACACAUAAGGAGGAGUAGUCUAUUACAGAACUCUUGACCAUGUGUGCUUAAGAGGAGGAGAUGAUAAAGUAGGACAAGCCUGAAGUUGCCCAUCUGGCUACCCGCCCAAAGGGUAAAGGCAAGAAGGAUCAUGGGAAGAGCCAGUUUAAGGAGCCACCCAAGAUGGCAGUAAGGUGAAGUGCUUCUUAUGUAGGAAGGAUGGACAUGUAAAAAAAGAUAAACCCAAAUAUAAGAAGUGGCUUGAAAAGAGAGGGCUUUUUCAACCUAAGGAAUCCGAUGGAAAGUGAGAUGUUCGUCUACCUAGGGAAUAAGAGGCGCUCUCAAAUCAUUGGAGUUGGGACAUUUAGGAUAAUUCUGUUUUCGAGAUGUGCUUUAGAUUUUGAUAAUGUUUUUUACAUUCCAGACUUUUCUAGAAAUUUGAUUUCUAUUUUCAAACUGGUUGUGUUUGACUACAAGUUUCUAUUUGAGAAUAAAUUGACUAUUUUUAGAAAUAAUUCUGUCAUUGAUA